UACGUAGGGUGCAAGCAUUAAUCGGAUUCAUUGGGCGUAAAGAGCGUGUAGGCGGGAAAGAAAGUUAGAUGGGAAAGCCCGGGGCUCAACUCCGGAACUGCAUCUAAAACUCCUUUUCUAGAGGAUGGACGGAGAAAAUGGAAUUCCACGUGUAGCGGUGAAAUGCGUAGAGAUGUGGAAGAACACCAGUGGCGAAAGCGAUUUUCUAGUUUAGACCUGACGAUGAGGCGCGAAAGCUAGGGGAGCAAACAGG
rnacentral:rRNA from 1 species